GAUGAACGCUGGCGGCGUGCCUAAUACAUGCAAGUCGAGCGAAUGGAUUAAGAGCUUGCUCUUAUGAAGUUAGCGGCGGACGGGUGAGUAACACGUGGGUAACCUGCCCAUAAGACUGGGAUAACUCCGGGAAACCGGGGCUAAUACCGGAUAACAUUUUGAACCGCAUGGUUCGAAAUUGAAAGGCGGCUUCGGCUGUCACUUAUGGAUGGACCCGCGUCGCAUUAGCUAGUUGGGGAGGUAACGGCUCACCAAGGCAACGAUGCGUAGCCGACCUGAGAGAGUGAUCGGCCACAAUGGGACUGAGACACGGCCCAGACUCCUACGGGAGGCAGCAGUAGGGAAUCUUCCGCAAUGAACGAAAGUCUGACGGAGCAACGCCGCGUGAGUGAUGAAGGCUUUCGGGUCGUAAAACUCUGUUGUUAGGGAAGAACAAGUGCUAGUUGAAUAAGCUGGCACCUUGACGGUACCUAACCAGAAAGCCACGGCUAACUACGUGCCAGCCGCCGCCGUAA
rnacentral:rRNA from 1 species